rnacentral:rRNA from 1 species
CCUACGGGAGGCAGCAGUGGGGAAUCUUGCGCAAUGGGCGAAAGCCUGACGCAGCAACGCCGCGUGCGGGAAGAAGGCCUUCGGGUUGUAAACCGCUUUCAGCAGGAACGAAAAUGACGGUACCUGUAGAAGAAGGUGCGGCCAACUAUGUGCCAGCAGCCGCGGUGAUACAUAGGCACCAAGCGUUGUCCGGAUUUAUUGGGCGUAAAGAGCUCGUAGGCGGUUCAGUCAGUCGGGUGUGAAAACUCUGGGCUUAACCCAGAGCCUGCACCCGAUACUGCUGUGACUAGAGUUCGGUAGGGGAGCGGGGAAUUCCUGGUGUAGCGGUGAAAUGCGCAGAUAUCAGGAGGAACACCGAUGGCGAAGGCACCGCUCUGGGCCGAAACUGACGCUGAGGAGCGAAAGCAUGGGUAGCAAACAGGAUUAGAUACCCUGGUAGUCCAUGCCGUAAACGUUGGGCACUAGGUGUGGGUUCCAAUCAACGGAAUCCGCGCCGUCGCUAACGCAUAGUGCCGCCGCGGAGGUACGGUCGCGACGACGUAAACGUUAAACGUAAGUAAGUUAGUUACGGCGUGAGACGUGCCGACGGCGACGACGAGGGAGGAGG